CCUACGGGAGGCAGCAGUGAGGAAUAUUGGUCAAUGGACGAGAGUCUGAACCAGCCAAGUAGCGUGAAGGAUGACUGCCCUAUGGGUUGUAAACUUCUUUUAUCAAGGAAUAAAACGAGGCACGUGUGCCUUUUUGCAUGUACUUUAUGAAUAAGGAUCGGCUAACUCCGUGCCAGCAGCCCCGGUAAUACGGAGGGUCCGAGCGUUUUCCGGAUUUAUUUGGUUUAAAGGGAGCGUAGAUGGGUUGGUAAGUCAGUUGUGAAAGUUUGCGGCUCAACCGUAAAAUUGCAAUUGAUACUGGCAGUCUUGAGUACAGUUGAGGUAAGCGGAAUGCGUGGUGUAGCGGUGAAAUGCUUAGAUAUCACGAAGAACCCCGAUUGCGAAGGCAGCUUACUAAAGUGUGACUGACAUUGAUGCUCGAAAGUGUGGGUAUCAAACAGGAUUAGAUACCCGGGUAGUC
rnacentral:rRNA from 1 species